rnacentral:rRNA from 1 species
GAUGAACGCUGGCGGCGUGCCUAACACAUGCAAGUCGAGCGGCAGCGCGGGGUGCUUGCACCCUGUCGGCGAGCGGCGGACGGCUGAGUAACGCGUGGGAACGUGCCCCAAAGUGAGGAAUAACUGCCCGAAAGGGUAGCUAAUACCGCAUAUUAUCUUCGGAUCAAAGGAUUUAUCCGCUUUGGGAGCGGCUCGCGUCGGAUUAGGUAGUUGGUGAGGUAAUGGCUCACCAAGCCGACGAUCCGUAGCUGGUCUGAGAGGAUGACCAGCCAGACUGGAACUGAGACACGGUCCAGACUCCUACGGGAGGCAGCAGUGAGGAAUCUUCCACAAUGGGCGAAAGCCUGAUGGAGCAACGACGCGUGCAGGACGAAGGCCUUCGGGUUGUAAACUGCUUUUAUAAGUGAGGAAUAUGACGGUAACUUAUGAAUAAGGAUCGGCUAACUACGUG